rnacentral:rRNA from 2 species
GACGAACGCUGGCGGCGUGCCUAAUACAUGCAAGUCGAGCGAAGAAAUUUCCUUCGGGAAAGAGUAAGAGCGGCGGACGGGUGAGUAAUAUGUGGGUAACCUGCCUUAUUCAAAGGGAUAGCCACUGGAAACGGUGAUUAAUACCAUAUAAAACAGCAGCAUCGCAUGAUGUAACUGUCAAAGAUUUAUCGGAAUAAGAUGGACCCGCACCUGAUUAGCUAGUUGGUAGUGUAACGGACUACCAAGGCGACGAUCAGUAGCCGGCCUGAGAGGGUGAACGGCCACAUUGGAACUGAGACACGGUCCAAACUCCUACGGGAGGCAGCAGUAGGGAAUAUUGCACAAUGGGCGCAAGCCUGAUGCAGCGACGCCGCGUGAGCGAAGAAGGUUUUCGGAUCGUAAAGCUCUGUCCUAUGGGAAGAUAACGACGGUACCAUAGGAGGAAGCCCCGGCUAACUACG